AAACAAAAUGUGAGAGCCUGUAACACUAAUAUGAAAUGGUUUAAGAGUCUACUUGUAAAAUAAAUAAACUAAGAACAUGCUGUAUAUUAUAAUAUUGCCAAAUAAUAAAAAGUAAUUUGGAAAAAUUAAUAUAGAAAUUAAAAAAACCCAAAACCCGAAAGGUUCUUUCAAUGCUUUGAAGCUUUCGCAGCUCGUCUUCUUUUGGAAUUAUUUUGCUUUUUUCAACGAUUUCAGAUUCUGGCUUUUAGGGUUUUACGAUGAAUGAGAGAAAGACGAUUGAUCUUGAACAAGGAUGGGAGUUUAUGCAAAAAGGAAUUACAAAGUUGAAGAACAUUUUAGAAGGCUUGCCAGAGCCGCAAUUUAGCUCCGAGGAUUAUAUGAUGCUUUAUACAACAAUUUACAAUAUGUGUACCCAAAAGCCUCCUCAUGACUAUUCUCAGCAGUUGUAUGAUAAGUAUCGAGAAUCCUUUGAAGAGUACAUCACUUCAACAGUACUUCCUUCUUUACGAGAAAAGCAUGAUGAGUUUAUGUUGAGAGAGCUGGUCAAAAGGUGGAGUAAUCAUAAAGUAAUGGUUAGGUGGCUUUCUCGGUUCUUCCAUUACCUUGAUCGGUACUUUAUUGCUCGGAGGUCACUACCUCCCCUUAAUGAAGUUGGACUCACGUGUUUCCGAGAACUGGUUUACCAAGAGCUAAAUGCAAAAGUGAGAGAUGCUGUAAUUUCUCUGAUCGAUCAAGAACGUGAAGGUGAGCAGAUUGAUCGCGCUUUGUUGAAGAACGUUUUAUAUAUAUUUGUUGAAAUUGGAAUGGGGCAAAUGGAUUACUAUGAGAAUGACUUUGAGGCUACUAUGCUCAAAGAUACUGCUGCCUACUACUCGAGGAAGGCUGCAAAUUGGAUCGUGGAUGAUUCUUGUCCAGAUUACAUGUUGAAAUCCGAGGAAUGUUUAAAAUGUGAGAAGGAUAGGGUCUCCCAUUACUUGCAUUCUAGUAGUGAGCCAAAACUGCUUGAGAAAGUUCAACAUGAGUUGUUAUCUGUAUGGGAAACCCGACUUCUCGAUAAAGAGCACUCCGGCUGUCAUGCAUUGCUCAGAGACGACAAGGUGGAUGAUUUGUCAAGAAUGUUUAGACUCUUUUCUAAAAUUCCUCGAGGCUUAGAUCCCAUAUCAAGCAUUUUCAAACAGCAUGUUACUGCUGAAGGCACAGCUUUGGUCAAACAGGCUGAGGAUGCUGCAAGCACCAAAAAGGCUGAUAAAAAGGAUGUCGUUGGCAUGCAAGAGCAGGUUUUCGUGAGGAAAGUGAUUGAGCUGCAUGAUAAGUACCUAGCCUAUGUGAAUGAUUGUUUUCAAAAUCAUACUCUCUUUCACAAGGCUCUCAAGGAGGCUUUUGAAGUCUUUUGCAAUAAGGGUGUUAUUGGAAGCUCAAGUGCAGAGCUACUUGCCACUUUUUGUGAUAAUAUUCUCAAGAAAGGUGGCAGUGAGAAAUUGAGUGAUGAAGCAAUAGAAGAAACACUUGAAAAGGUUGUGAAGCUACUUGCUUAUAUUAGUGACAAAGACUUGUUUGCUGAAUUCUAUCGGAAAAAGCUUGCUCGAAGGCUUCUUUUUGACAAGAGUGCUAAUGAUGACCAUGAGAGAAGUAUAUUAACAAAGCUGAAACAGCAAUGUGGUGGUCAGUUCACCUCAAAAAUGGAGGGAAUGGUUACAGAUUUGACAUUGGCAAGGGAAAACCAGGCAAGUUUUGAGGAGUACUUGAGCAAUAAUCCGAACGCAAAUCCAGGGAUUGACUUGACAGUAACUGUUUUGACUACUGGAUUUUGGCCAAGUUACAAGUCUUUUGAUCUCAAUCUUCCUGCUGAGAUGGUCAAGUGUGUUGAAGUUUUCCGGGACUUCUACCAGACAAAAACCAAACACCGCAAACUUACUUGGAUAUAUUCUUUGGGCACUUGUAAUCUUAUUGGGAAGUUUGAACCAAAGACGAUGGAGUUGAUUGUCACAACAUAUCAGGCCUCUGCCUUAUUGCUGUUCAACUCCUCAGAUCGCCUGAGCUAUUCCGAGAUCAUGACACAAUUGAACUUAACGGAUGAUGACGUAAUUAGACUUUUGCAUUCGUUAUCUUGUGCGAAAUAUAAAAUCCUUAACAAGGAGCCAAGCACAAAAACCAUCUCUUCCACUGAUCAUUUUGAAUUCAACUCCAAGUUUACUGAUAAAAUGAGGAGGAUCAAGAUUCCUCUUCCCCCUCUGGAUGAGAAGAAGAAAGUAAUCGAAGAUGUUGACAAGGAUCGACGAUAUGCCAUUGAUGCCUCAAUUGUACGUAUCAUGAAGAGUCGGAAAGUUCUGGGUCACCAGCAGUUGGUUAUGGAGUGUGUUGAGCAAUUGGGCCGCAUGUUCAAGCCGGACUUCAAGGCCAUUAAAAAGCGAAUAGAAGACCUGAUUACUCGAGACUAUCUUGAGAGGGACAAAGAUAACCCCAAUACAUUCCGGUAUUUGGCAUGAUGUGACCUAGUCAUUAUCCUGUGACAAAGCAGUGACUGUUGCCGCUGCAAAUAACUCGAAGCAGCUGGAUAUGAUUGGUUCGUGACGAAAGUUGCAUACACAUAAUGAGAUGCUGCUGAGAUGCUUGUACAGUAGGAGCCAGGUUCUUUUGGGGCUUGGUGAAACAUUAGACUUUCGUUUUUUUUAAUUCGCUUUUUAUAUGUUUUGAUUGCGGGUGUGGUGACAUUUGGUUGUUGGUUCGGGAUAAGGGUGUGAGAAUAGUUUGAUUGUGGUUUUUCUUGGAUUAUGGUUUGGUCGAAGAAGAAAUGGUGAGUGAGUUCAGAAUGAAGGAUUAUCGAGUUGGUUGAGUUUAAACUGAUGCAUGGGGUUUACAGUGACUUUAUUAAGGUUUGGGGUUGAGUUAUUAUCAAUAUUGUUUGGAUUAUUAGAUUAGGGAGUAAUGGUACAAAGAUGGAGUGAUUAAAGUGUAAAUUUGUAAAUUUACUAAUAGUUCAGUGACCAAUUUAUAAAUUUCUGAGAUUGAGUGAUCAACUUGUAAACUUAUUACUAAUUGAAUGACUAAAUUGUAAAUUUACCUAUGCCAA